AAAAAGCAACAGAAGCUAUUUUCCUUCAUACUGCACAGUUGAUCCAGUUUGCUGGUUAUGCAUCUCCCUUCUGUUUGCACUUGAAUAUUCUACUCCACAAAAGAUCAACAUUUGACAACUUAGUGAUAUUUCACUGGUAGUAAAAAUGACAACAAAAGCAGAAAGAGGGCAAAAACAUUCUUCAAAGGAAAUCUUUUGAGUAAAAGCCAACAAGAAUGGAGGACAACAAACAGCCUUGGGAUUGCAGAGACAAUCACCUGGAUGAAUCAAUGUUUUAAACUGAGUCCUGACAGACAAAUGGGAGUUACCCGGGAAAAGAAUGUGAACAUAAGAGAAGAUUGUUCCAGAAGCUAGGAAGAGCAUGGCAUUAAAAUCCAUUAAUUUUGGUUGAAUUCAAGAGUGCAAAGAGGAAAUGGAAAGAAAUUGGGUUUAAAAAAUAAGCAAAGGCCAGAUCAAAAAGGUCCAUAGAAACUAUGUUAAGAAGUUUUGGACUUUAUCCUUAUGGCAGUGGGUAACUAUUAAAGAGUUUUAAAGAAGAGA